CGCCGGAGUAGCAACCGUCCACCAGAAAUCAGCCGGCCGAAAUUCAUCUCCGUUGAUCUGGCAUCGUCCCACAGCUGGUGCGGGUGCUAUUAAAACCCGCUACACGGCGUCGUUUCGAUUGUCACUUGAAAUACCAGUAAUCACCUGAUUGGUGUGAGCAGAGAAGGAUGUUUCAGUUGAGCAGACACUCAGAGUGGAAGAUGUUGAUAGUAUGACACCUAAGCCUCCUCUUCCGUCACCCACAAAUCUGGACAUGCCAAAUCUAGUAAGGAUGAUGAAAUCCUUCGUGUUGGCAAUGUAGCAACAAAAUGCAUCAUUAUUUCAGCAAAAUAUGGUAGCCUUACAGUAGUUAGAAGUUGUUAGGGUGUCAAUUGAGACAUCCUAAAGGCAGUACAUGACAACUAUGAACCAUAUGAGUGAUACAAGGUCAGCAGUGGAGCUUUCUCACUCUCCUUUUUCUCAAGCUCAAGAAUUUAGUUUGGAGAUUUUUCUCACCAUCAUCCAGCUAAGUUUGAUGACAAGAUGAGUCAUGAUGAGGGAUAUGGAAAGUAUUUUUGAUCCAAAGAAAUGUCCAACAGAAAGCAUAUUGUCUUUUUCUAAGUACUGUGUAGUGCUUUCUCUUUGCUCUAUUUUUUUAAUGUAACUGAAGCAUUACUUUAGUUAUUUUAAGCAGUGUCCAGAAAAGUAUUAAUUCAUUAUCUGCAUUAUGGAGUUCCAUCCUCUGCUGCUUAGUUGUUGCAAUUGCAGUACUAUUUGCUUUUCAGCAUCAUUCAGUACGAAAUCGAACUUGAACUGGAAUCCGGCCAAAGGAAGAGGAUGAUUUUGGGUUUAUAUAUAAAAACAAAUGGAAGCAUGGCUCCUUUCUUUUUGGUACAUGGUUGCAUAACUGAGACUGGCUCUGGUUGAAAGUGAUUG